rnacentral:snRNA from 1 species
UUAUAAGAUUGUUCGUCUUGUUU